rnacentral:rRNA from 1 species
UACGUAGGGUGCAAGCGUUGUCCGGAUUUAUUGGGUUUAAAGGGUGCGUAGGCGGCUAUUUAAGUCAGUGGUGAAAUCCUGCAGCUUAACUGUAGAAUUGCCAUUGAUACUGGAUAGCUUGAGUACAGACGAGGUAGGCGGAAUUUAUGGUGUAGCGGUGAAAUGCAUAGAUACCAUAAAGAACUCCUAUUGCGAAGGCAGCUUACUAGGCUGUAACUGACGCUGAGGCACGAAAGCGUGGGGAUCAAACAGG